ensembl:lncRNA
AGUCAUUAGGAAUUUUAGGUAUGAACUUGAAUACGGAUCUAAAAACUAAUUUUAAAAAAUACUUCAUUUUAAAAUUGCUGCUUUUUCUCAGCAGUACUAAGCAGGAGCUGAUAUUAGGAAACCCAACGGUUUGCAAAACAGGCUGAGAAACCAAGUGAAGUAAGAUGCAAGCUGACAACAUGAAAAAUUCUUAAUGAGGUUCAAGAAAGUUUUGCAUGAAUAAGUCACAGUGAAGGAUCUGCCUCAAAUAAGGAGUAGGAUCUGAAGAGCAGAGGGGCGAGCAGGCCUUGCGGCAGUGUGCCCCCCCCCAUGCCCCACAUGGAACGGCUGAGCCCGGGCUCGUGCUGUGCAGCACCCACAGACAUCACAGCGAGCAGCGACCACUUUCCAGAAACAGGCCGUUUGUUAGCACGUGCUCGCUCAAAAGUAAACAGCUCGUUAAGCCCCAUUUCCUUUAUUGUUUCACGUAGCACCUAUGGAGAAUCACAAUGAAAGUUAUCCUUCCGGAAGCCGCGGUGUAAACGCUUUGCACGCACAGGAAUUCAAAUAACGCAAUCACCGCCGCAUCUUAUGAGGCUCUGCAGCACGUCCUGCAACACCACCUUCCCCUCCUCAGAUGCUGCAGCGCUGUUGCAGUCACUGUCCGGCAAACACAACGUGGAACAAGAAGCAAAACCACCCGGGCUUACAGCGCGAACCUACACUACAACAUACAAUCGUGUCUGUGACACAUGGGCUCAGGUUCCCGACUGUGAGGCACGCGGAAAAUGGAGAAUUCUUUUCUGCAAUCGCCAAAAAAAGGUUCUGUUCCCCGAUUUUCACAAGUCCGGCUCCUGACGAUAUGUGCGUGUAUCUAUUUGUCGUUAUGCGGGCACACCCGCGAGCCGCGCUCCGGGCACGGCAGUGAGGAGAGCUCUGAAGAGAAACGGCCACGCGCGGCUCCUUUGUCUGCCGGGCCGGGCCCCGCCCGCGCGGCCUCACACGACCCCGUCCGCCGCCCCUCCCUCGCUCUCCGCCUCUCCUCGCUCAGGCUCUCGGCCGUGCCUGCAGGGGGGCGGAGGCCUAUUUUUAGACGCCCUCAGGAGGCCUCUCCGCUGAGAGCUCCCGCGCUCCGCGAGGUUGUC